ACGGAAGGCAGCAGUGGGGAAUAUUGGACAAUGGGGGAAACCCUGAUCCAGCGACGCCGCGUGAGUGAAGAAGUAUCUCGGUAUGUAAACUUCUAUCAGCAGGGAAGAUAAUGACGGUACCUGACUAAGAAGCCCUGGCUAACUACGUGCCAGCAGCCGCGGUAAUACGUAGGGGGCAAGCGUUAUCCGGAUUUACUGGGUGUAAAGGGAGCGUAGACGGAACGGCAAGUCUGAUGUGAAAGGCUGGGGCUCAACCCCGGGACUGCAUUGGAAACUGUCGGUCUUGAGUGCCGGAGGGGUAAGCGGAAUUCCUAGUGUAGCGGUGAAAUGCGUAGAUAUUAGGAGGAACACCAGUGGCGAAGGCGGCUUACUGGACGGUAACUGACGUUGAGGCUCGAAAGCGUGGGGAGCAAACAGGAUUAGAUACCCUGGUA
rnacentral:rRNA from 1 species